rnacentral:rRNA from 1 species
UACAGAGGUGGCAAGCGUUGUUCGGAAUUACUGGGCGUAAAGGGCGCGUAGGCGGUCUUGUCAGUCCCUUGUGAAAUCCCCCGGCUCAACUGGGGAACUGCACGGGAAACAGCAGGGCUUGAGUUCGGGAGAGGGAAGCGGAAUUCCGGGUGUAGCGGUGGAAAUGCGUAGAUAUCCGGAGGAACACCGGUGGGCGAAGGCGGCCGU